rnacentral:misc_RNA from 1 species
GGUGUAAAAGUCAUAACAAGGUUUCCGUAGGUGAACCUGCGGAAGGAUCAUUAACGAGUUAGGGUCUUUUAGGCCCGACCUCCCAACCCUAUGUUUAUUGAACCUCUGUUGCUUCGGCGGACCCGUCUCACGGCCGCCGGAGGACCGCUGCGAGGCGUCCUCUGGCCAGCGUCCGCCGAUGGCCAACCCACUAAACUCUGAAUGAAUCGUGUCAUAUGUCUAAGUCUAUGAUUAAAUUAAAGCAAAACUUUCAACAACGGAUCUCUUGGUUCUG